rnacentral:rRNA from 1 species
AGAGUUCGAUUCUGGCUCAGGACGAACGCUGGCGGCGCGCCUAACACAUGCAAGUCGAACGAGCAAGAGAGAGCUUGCUUUCUCGAGCGAGUGGCGAACGGGUGAGUAACGCGUGAGGAACCUGCCUCAAAGAGGGGGACAACAGUUGGAAACGACUGCUAAUACCGCAUAAGCCCACGGCUCGGCAUCGAGCAGAGGGAAAAGGAGCAAUCCGCUUUGAGAUGGCCUCGCGUCCGAUUAGCUAGUUGGUGAGGUAACGGCCCACCAAGGCGACGAUCGGUAGCCGGACUGAGAGGUUGAACGGCCACAUUGGGACUGAGACACGGCCCAG